GAUGAACGCUAGCGGCAGGCUUAACACAUGCAAGUCGAGGGGUAGGGUAGCAAUACCUGAGACCGGCGCACGGGUGCGUAACGCGUAUGCAACCUACCUUUUACAGGGGGAUAGCCCAGAGAAAUUUGGAUUAAUACCCCAUGGUAUAAUUUGAUGGCAUCAUUAGAUUAUUAAAGUUCCAACGGUAAAAGAUGGGCAUGCGUCCUAUUAGCUAGAUGGUAAGGUAACGGCUUACCAUGGCUACGAUAGGUAGGGGUCCUGAGAGGGAGAUCCCCCACACUGGUACUGAGACACGGACCAGACUCCUACGGGAGGCAGCAGUGAGGAAUAUUGGACAAUGGGCGCAAGCCUGAUCCAGCCAUGCCGCGUGCAGGAAGAAGCAUCUAUGGUGUGUAAACUGCUUUUGUACGGGAAGAAACACUCCCUCGUGAGGGAGCUUGACGGUACCGUAAGAAUAAGGAUCGGCUAACUCCGUGCCAGCAGCCGCCGUAAAAC
rnacentral:rRNA from 1 species